GUGCCAGCAGCGCGGUAAUACGGGGGAUGCGAGCGUUAUCCGGAUUUAUUGGGUUUAAAGGGCGCGUAGGCGGGACGUCAAGUCAGCGGUAAAAGACUGCAGCUAAACUGUAGCACGCCGUUGAAACUGGCGCCCUCGAGACGAGACGAGGGAGGCGGAACAAGUGAAGUAGCGGUGAAAUGCAUAGAUAUCACUUGGAACCCCGAUAGCGAAGGCAGCUUCCCAGGCUCGAUCUGACGCUGAUGCGCGAGAGCGUGGGUAGCGAACAGGAUUAGAUACCCUGGUAGUCCACGCCGUAAACGAUGCUCACUGGAUCUUGGCGAUACACGGCCAGGGGUUCAAGCGAAAAAGUAUUAAGUGAGCCACCUGGGGAGUACGUCGGCAACGAUGAAACUCAAAUGAAUUGACGGG
rnacentral:rRNA from 1 species